rnacentral:rRNA from 1 species
CGCCUGUUUAUCAAAAACAUCGCCUCUUGAUUAAAUAUAAGAGGUCCAGCCUGCCCGGUGACGAAAGUUUAACGGCCGCGGUAUCCUGACCGUGCAAAGGUAGCAUAAUCACUUGUUCUUUAAAUGGGGACUAGAAUCAACGGCAUCACGAGGGUCUUACUGUCUCCUUUCUCUAAUCAGUGAAACUGAUCUCUCCGUGAAGAAGCGGGGAUAAAGAUAUAAGACGAGAAGACCCCAUGGAGCUUCAAGCUCAACAAGUACUCUUUUCCACUAACCUUACAGACUCUAGAAUCUACUUGUUAGCUUUGGGUUGGGGUGACCGCGGAGAAAAACCUAACCUCCAUAAUGAAAAGAAUAAAAUCCUAAUCUAUGAGCCACACCUCUAAGAAUCAACAAAUUGACAUAAAAUGACCCGAUAAUUCGAUCAAUGAACCAAGUUACCCUGGGGAUAACAGCGCCAUCCACUUCAAGAGCCCAUAUCGACGAGUGGGUUUACGACCUCGAUGUUGGAUCAGGGUGUCCCAGUGGUGCAGCCGCUACUAAAGGUUCGUUUGUUCAACGAUUAAAACCCUACGUGAUCUGAG